UACGUAGGACCCGAGCGUUGUCCGGAUUCACUGGGUAUAAAGGGUGCGUAGGCGGUCAUGUGCGUCAGAGGUGAAAUAUCCGGGCUCAACCCGGAGGGUGCCUUUGAUACGGCGUGACUUGAGUGCGAGAGAGGAUGAUGGAAUUCCUGGUGUAGCGGUGAAAUGCGUAGAUAUCAGGAGGAACACCGGUGGCGAAGGCGGUCAUCUGGCUCGUAACUGACGCUGAGGCACGAAAGCGUGGGGAUCAAACAGGAUUAGAUACCCUGGUAGUCCACGCCCUAAACGAUGUAUGCUUGGUGUUGGGGCCCAGAGGUCUCAGUGCCGUAGGAAAUCUGGUAAGCAUACCACCUGGGGAGUACGAUCGCAAGGUUGAA
rnacentral:rRNA from 1 species